rnacentral:rRNA from 1 species
CCUACGGGUGGCAGCAGUGAGGAAUAUUGGUCAAUGGCCGCAAGGCUGAACCAGCCAAGCCGCGUGAAGGACGAAUGUGCCAAGCAUUGUAAACUUCUUUUGUCAAGGGACAAAAUCAGGCUCGAGAGCCUGACCGAGGGUACUUGAAGAAAAAGCAUCGGCUAACUCCGUGCCAGCAGCCGCGGUAAUACGGAGGAUGCGAGCGUUAUCCGGUUUUAUUGGGUUUAAGGGGUGCGUAGAGGGGUUGUUAAGUCAGCGGGAAAAGCCCGGGGCUCAACCCAGGCGAGCCGUUGAAACUGGCUGUCUUGAGAUGUCGAGAGGUAUGCGGAAUGCGCAGUGUAGCGGUGAAAUGCUUAGAUAUCGCGCAGAACUCCGAUUGCGAAGGCAGCAUACCGGCGGGGAUCUGACGCUGAGGCACGAAAGCGUGGGUAUCGAACAGGAUUAGAUACCCUGGUAGUC